CAUUCAAAAUUGAAUUCGAAUUUAGUUUGGUUAAGGCUUAACCUUAAGUAUACCUAACGCUGUGGUCCCCGAGCUCGCUUUUCAUCCUAAUUCUGUAGUAUUUUUUGGUACCAACACCGCCCUUGGCAACAAUGUUGCCUUUAACGCCUGGCUAGAGUUGCCAAAGAGAUUGGUUUAAUACAAAGCUUUGAUUUUAUUUCUGUUUUUGUACAUAAUGUACAUGCUAGCCAUGUAGCUAAUGUAGUGUAACGGAAACAUGCGGUUUCAACUGUUUUGCUAGCUUGCUUGUCAGGUAGUCGCGGUGGCUACCUUCGAUAUUUGUUGGAAUAGAUGGCGAAUACAAAACUAACUUGCAGUGUGUCCACGUCGCUGCUGUUUUAUGGAUAGACACUUUCAUGAACUCACCAUUAUUUCACGUUAGCGAAGUCUUCAUGUCCCAAGUCGUGUUUGGCGAGCGUUAGCUAGCCGGGCUAUGCCGAAGGUGCGUUCUUGUUACACUGUAAAAGUCGGGAUUUCCAACAGUUCUUGAAUGAAGCGUUUCAUUUCAAGAUGCGUGCACAUACUUGUUAAAUACAUUUGACUAGUUUGAACAGUACUUGAUGUAUUUGUUAUGAACUUAUCGACUGGACGUUUGUGUUUUAUUACUCGUUGGCCACGGCUUGAAGAAGAACCGCACUUUAAAACGUCCGAGGAAAUAUGAAUGCAACAUUAGUUUCUAUAGCAACCGAACUACAGGGUGAGACGCAUUCAGGAACAAAAUACAACAUGAUUUUGAGCUGUACGGUAUAUUGAAGCAUUGUAACGCUGGGUAUUAAAGUGACAAAUGACAUAAUUAUUGAAUAUACACUUUCAAGGAAUAAAACACGCGAAUUUAAAUAGUUCAGCUUGACUGAACAAUUAAUAUUAGCAGCGUCGUUGAGAAUGUCACGUUCGAAUGUGGAAAAUGUAUAAAAUGAGAACUGAUACGUUUAUUUUUGGGAACACAAAGCAAAACGACUUGACAGUAUAGGAACAACAGCAAUAUUUAGGGGUGUGUUGCAGUAUUGUGAAGGUGAUAACACUCCAGGUAGUUAAAAAUCCUAGUAGCCAUGAACGCAACAAACCACCCAGCAACCCGGAACCAAAACAACACAAUGCAGAAAUGAGGCACAUUUUGGCACUAACUUUACGCUUGACUUUAACAAGAGUGCAAUAACUUUCACGUUAUUCCGUUUUAUUUUAACAUUAUAUAAUUUAUUUACUAACUUUAUUCUUCUAUUUGUCAUGAGUUUACGCGCUCGUUUGAGAAACUACGCGAAUGGAGAUGGAGCUCUCCUGUUGGACGGUGGAUUAGCAACACAACUGGAGGCUCAAGGUGCAAAAUUGCAGGGAGACCCCCUGUGGAGCGCCAGGCUUUUGGCUACAGAUCCUCAGGCUAUUAGCGAUGCUCAUCACAGCUUUCUCAAGAGCGGCGCCAACAUCAUCACCACAGCCACCUACCAGGCGACCAUUCAAGGCUUCGUCCGACACUUAAACGUGAGCUCGGACGUCGCCAGGGAGCUGCUGGUGUCUGGGCUUCACCUCGCCAAACAGACGGUCACCGCAUACGUGUCUGACACUCAUGGGAAAGCGUGUCCCCUGGUGGCGGCGUCGGUGGGACCCUAUGGAGCCUCCUUGCACGACGGAUCCGAGUACACCGGGGCGUAUGCGAAGACGAUGAGCGUUGAGGAGCUGAAAUCUUGGCAUAGGCCUCAGCUGGAAUGUUUGGCGGCGGCGGGAGCUGACCUCUUGGCUUUCGAGACCAUCCCAAGUCUCAAAGAAGCCGAAGCGCUGGUGGAGCUCUUGCGAGAAUUACCAAACUGCGAUGCUUGGCUCUCCUUCUCUUGCAAGGAUGGGGCAUGUCUAGCAGACGGUAGCUUGUUCGGCGAUGGUGUUCGUGUGGCAAACAAGUCGACGCAGCUGCUGGCCGUGGGAGUCAACUGUUGUACUCCCGAGUGGGUGGAGACUCUGCUGGACUCGGCCAAGGCACUGAAGAGUCCCAACAUGAGAUAUAUUGUGUACCCCAACAGCGGGGAGGAGUGGGAUGCUGAGCAGGGAUGGAGAACAUCAUCAGGGAAAUCGUCGAUACCAGCACUCAGUCACACGUGGAUCAAACAAGGCGCCACUUUGAUCGGGGGUUGCUGCCGCGUGGGUCCCGAUCAGAUUGCCGAGCUGAGACGACAUUUGGAAGGACAUGGAAACAUAACGAUAAGAUAAUGGCCUCAGAUGUGAUUUAUUGGAAAAUAAAUGAACAGCAAACACACGUGUACGUGUACAGUGAUGUCACCAGUGAGGAAAAAUAGGUCUGGUGGUCACUAUAAACAAUGAUGGAAAAAUACUAUAUAUACUACUAAAUACAACUAAGUAGGUUGUACAUUGUUUUUUUAGUCUACAAAGACAAAAGAAUGGUAAAAAGUAGGCUGUAAGGUGACAUUGCGUCUCGUUUAUGUACAAAUAAAUAGUACUAUCAUGUAACAACUUGAUACAAAUACAUCAAACUUGUAUUUCACCACUAGAGAAAAAUAGUCCCAAGAUGAUGAUGUCACUGCACUUUUACGGAUACUUCACGCCACUGCCGCCUCUGGAUGGAGGUGGUAUUACAAGUGGACUCUGUUAACGGGGCUUCUUGACAGCUGCGCCUUCCUGUCGGGUCGAUGUGGGGGAUUCAGUCCAUCUCGUCCUCCUCCAGGUCGCUGUCAGGGGAGCUCCUCUGUCUGUUCUCUGCGGUGUUAGGCAGGCGCCUCCAAGUGGCGUCUUUCUGACUGCCCAUGCUGUGCGAUCGUCCCAGCUGGACCAGGCGCUUGGCAGACGUCCUCCCCUCCGCUUCAUCUGUGUCGUGACGAAGGUUCUCCAGAUUGAGAGCCCAGGGGCCCAGCUUCUGCCAAUUGACCCUCUGGAAGGCCAUGAUGCAGUGCAGAGCUGCUCGCCUGGGGUACCUUUUUGGUGGUGCGCCUCUGGAUGCCCUUCUCCAUAUGGCGAAUGUCCAGGUAUUCUGGAUUCUGGGUGUUGAGGUCGGUCACGAUGUCCAACCACCUGCACAACAACACUUAAAACCCCAAAAAAGACCCCCACUCCCCAAGAAAAAAAAACCAAACUCCACAGGUGCUUACUUUUUACAGUGGAUAGCUGCAUGCUUCCUGCUGGGUUCUCCAAUCAGGAUCCAGUGCUCCAUCUCACUGGUGGGCAGAGGACCUCUAGAAAAAAACAGACUCUAUAUGAGGACUGGUGUGAUGUCAUCUGUGCCAUCUUUAAAAAAAAACAACCCUUUUGUCCCAUUUUUGUAUUUGAUUUAUGUCCUCAUUUCAUCAUGUAAUAUCACCAAGUGUGACAUCACCAUAUCACCAUUUGAUAUCAUCAUGUGUGAUACCAUAUGGCAUUUCUAUGAUAUCACCAUGUCUAUAUAAUCAUUUUGUGAUAUUACCAUAUGUACGAUAUCGUCAUAUGUCUGAUACCAAAUGGCCAUAUUGGCAUUUCUAUGAUAUCACCAUGUCUAUAUCACCGUUUUCUGAUAUUACCAUGUGUCUGAUAUUACCAAAUGGCUGAUAUCACAAAUUCUGACAUCAUUCAUCUGAUAUCACCGCUGUCUGAUAUUACCACGUGUCUGAUAUCAUCACAUGCCUGAUAUCGCUGUAUGUCUGAUGUCAUAUAUAUACUCUAUAGCCAUGGAUGUCCAAAGUGCGGCCCACAGCACCUUGUACAAAUACAAUUAAUCAGAAACAGCAAAAUUGAGAAAUAUAGAGCAAAAUGUGCCAAGAUGAA